CCUACGGGGGGCUGCAGUAGGGAAUAUUGGGCAAUGGAAGGAAUUCUGACCCAGCCAUGCCGCGUGCAGGAUGAAGGCGCUAUGCGUUGUAAACUGCUUUUGUCAGGGAAGAAAAAGGCUAUGCGUAGCAAAUUGACGGUACCUGAAGAAUAAGCAUCGGCUAACUCCGUGCCAGCAGCCGCGGUAAUACGGAGGAUGCAAGCGUUGUCCGGAUUUAUUGGGUUUAAAGGGUGCGUAGGCGGUCUUAUAAGUCAGUGGUUAAAUUACCUUGCUUA
rnacentral:rRNA from 1 species